AAACCUCUUCCAGUAGGGAAGAAGCGAAAGUGACGGUACCUGCAGAAGAAGCGCGGGCUAACUACGUGCCAGCAGCCGCGGUAAUACGUAGGGCGCAAGCGUUAUCCGGGAAUUAUUGGGCGUAAAGAGCUCGUAGGCGGUUUGUCGCGUCUGCCGUGAAAGUCCGGGGCUCAACUCCGGGAUCUGCGGUGGGUACGGGCAGACUAGAGUGAUGUAGGGGAGACUGGAAUUCCUGGUGUAGCGGUGAAAUGCGCAGAUAUCAGGAGGAACACCGAUGGCGAAGGCAGGUCUCUGGGCAUUAACUGACGCUGAGGAGCGAAAGCAUGGGGAGCGAACAGGAUUAGAUACCCUGGUAGUCCAUGCCGUAAACGUUGGGCACUAGGUGUGGGGGACAUUCCACGUUUUCCGCGCCGUAGCUAACGCAUUAAGUGCCCCGCCUGGGGAGUACGGCCGCAAGGCUAAAACUCAAAGGAAUUGACGGGGGCCCGCACAAGCGGCGGAGCAUGCGGAUUAAUUCGAUGCAACGCGAAGAACCUUACCAAGGCUUGACAUGGACCGGACCGCCGCAGAAAUGUGGUUUCUCCUUUUGGGGCCGGUUCACAGGUGGUGCAUGGUUGUCGUCAGCUCGUGUCGUGAGAUGUUGGGUUAAGUCCCGCAACGAGCGCAACCCUCGUUCCAUGUUGCCAGCACUUAGGGUGGGGACUCAUGGGAGACUGCCGGGGUCAACUCGGAGGAAGGUGGGGACGACGUCAAAUCAUCAUGCCCCUUAUGUCUUGGGCUUCACGCAUGCUACAAUGGCCGGUACAAAGGGUUGCGAUACUGUGAGGUGGAGCUAAUCCCAAAAAGCCGGUCUCAGUUCGGAUUGGGGUCUGCAACUCGACCCCAUGAAGUCGGAGUCGCUAGUAAUCGCAGAUCAGCAACGCUGCGGUGAAUACGUUCCCGGGCCUUGUACACACCGCCCGUCAAGUCACGAAAGUUGGUAACACCCGAAGCCGGUGGCCUAACCCCUUGUGGGAGGGAGCCGUA
rnacentral:rRNA from 1 species